CACACACACACACACACACACACACAAUUCUGUCAGUUCUGGUAAAUACACUGAGAACAUUAUGCAGGCAAUUUUUCUAUAAACUGUUUCCCCUAAAUGGUUUCCUAUUUUUUUGACAUAUUUUAGAAAAAUUUUAGUAACUGCUAGCUUUGAAAAAUUCGAAAAGGAUAGAGCAAACUCAGCAUUUAGUUGGUCUAAAGCUAGUGACAGAAAAUAUAUGUUUAAAUAACCAUAAUUUCAUUAUUGAACUGCAGAAAUUACUGGAUCAUAAUGACAGAAGAAGGCCAAUACAUUCUUUAUGGGAUGGUCAGGUACAAGAAAGAGCUCCCUUAUCUGUGCGUGACAGUGUGCCUGUGUGCAUAUGCAUAUAUCAUUGUGUCUGUGUAUCGGUUUAUGUAUUCUCCGUGCUUGUUUCAUUAAAAGCUCCAUUUUGUUCGCGUUGAACGUUAGUUUGUUUGACCCCGGUGAAUUUUAUGGUCCUGAAUGUAAGACUGUACCCAUGAUGGGAUUGAAUUUUGUAUAAUAUGCUUUGUGUUACAGUUUGGAUUCUAUUCAAGUGUUCUAUGGGCAGUAGAAGGGCCUAAAUUGGUGGCUCUUUUCCACUUGAAACGUUACUCAAAGGGCCUACUGGAUAACUCAUUUGUUUUUGGUGUCAUAUUUAGUAACACAGAUAAAUUUACAUUUUUAGGAAUAUGAAGUUUUUUUUUUUUUUUUUUUUGGCAUAUUAAUCGAAAGCAAAAGGUCUUUGAGUAAUUGUGGAUGUCAUCUAUUUUUCGCAUUUUCCCAGUUGGAAAACAAUUUACACCAGUAACUUGAAAAUGUUCGAAAAAAUGAAAAGAAAGAAGCAUCAAGAGUUAUGGAAUUGGUGGAGAUGUCUAGCAAAGGCAUGUGCAUCUCAAUGUGCUGGGCACUCCAGGAUUUGGUACUAACAUUUUUGGCGACUUAAUCAUGAGAAAAUUUUGACAUGUAGCAAUAGCAUUGUUUGCUUUGCCCACAGUUGAGUAAAUGGCAUUAAUUCAUGUUCACUGCCUGGUUGCUUUAUCAUUGAAAUUUUGACACGUAGUAAUAGCAUCGUUAACUUCAGCCAUAAUUGAGAAAUUAUCAUUAAUUCCUUUCUAACCUCCAGAAACUCUCUCUCUCUCUCUCUCUCUCUCUCUCUCUCUCUCUCUCUCUCUCUCUCUCUCUCUCUCUCUCUCUCUCUCUCUCUCUCUCUCUCUCUCUCUCUGUAGCCCUCUAUUCCAAGUUUCUUAAAUUUACUCUCUCCCUCUACUUAAGCUUUAUCAAAAUAAUAUUUCUGUCCAAUCUAGUAUACUCUUCGCAAGGUAAAGUCUUGAAAUAAUUCUCACCUCUCAUUUUUAAUUGGUUAUUAAUUUCUCUUCAGCUUCAUCUUAUAUGCAAUUUUAUCCUUUUCACAUGUUUAUUUUAUUGCUUUUUUCUACUAAAAGAAUUUCUUCAAUAUUGUAAAAAAUCAGUGCUUUGUUCUUGUGAGGUAUUCCUUUUUCCUGUUAAUAAGAUAUACUACCAUUUCUUGGUGCAGUUUCUGGGGAGAUCAUCAAAUGUUGAUGAAAAAUUUUGGCAUUUUUAGUUAGAAUUUUUUGCUGCAUGUUGAUUGAUAUUUAGGCUUUUUUAGCAUUGGUGAUUUCAGCAUUUGAGUCUUCGCCUAUUUAUCUAAGAAGAAGAUAGAGCGCCAUUAACUUCGCCCAUAAUUGAGAAAAAAAGUGAUAUCAUAUUCUUAGUUUAAUUCCUGUUAACUUUCUGGUCACUUUACCACAGAUAUUUUGUCAUAUAGCAAUAGCAUCCUUAACUUUGCUCAUAAUUGAGAAAAUAUCAUUAGUUUGUUUACGCCCUCGUCACUUAAUCACUCAAAGUUUGACAUGUAGCAAUUGCAUCGUUAACUUUAUUCAUAAUUGUGAAAAUAUCUUUAAUGCCCUUCUAUCCUCUGGAAACUCUUGCCAUUAGUUCUCACUCUUUCCCUGUACCUUCUUAAAAUUACUCUCACUCUAAUCAAGCUUUGUUGUGUAUAAUAAUCUCUACGUGAUCUCUUAUACACUCUUCAAAGGUAAAGGCUUUAAUUAUCUGAUAAUAAUCAGAUUGCAAUUGCUGUAUUUUUGUGGUUUUGUGUAUAUGUUUGGUCAGUUUCCCAGAGGGUGCCUCUCCCUCCCAUUUUCUCACUAAUUUGUGCCUGAAAAAAUGGACCUACCCUCCCGUAUUUAUAGCUAUGAAGCCUAUACAAUUCAUUCUACUAAAUUCCCAAAUUUUCUUUUAGUAAGAUUUUACAAAUAUUAAUAUCAUACACAAAUCACUCACAAUAUCAAUACUAUUGAAUGCUUCACUACAGUUACAACACGUGCCUUGCACAUUACUUACACGUGCCUAAAACCAGUUUCUACCAAAAGAAUUGCUUCAAUAUUGUAAAUGGUAAUUUCUGAAAGUGAAUCAAGUUAUCCAAGGCGACAAUGUUGGUGCCUCCUUCAGUCCUACCAGUGAAGUAGGGACUUGGCCGACCUCGGAAAGAUCCAAAUCUAAAGCAUGUUCAAACUGCAUGUGGACCUCCUGGUUUUAGAGGAGUGAAAGGAAACCACCAUCCCCAUAAAGUGGAUAGAGUAGAAGGGAAUGGCAAUGGCGUGCCAGGCACUGACUGGUGUUGUUGAUGCCACCUAUGGUGCUGGCUAUAAGCUGGAUGUUCGAAAUGGCAGCUCCAAUACUACUUUGAGGGGUGUUGAAUCUUAGGCAUUUUUAGCGUUGUUGAUUGCAGUAUUUGAGGCUCAGCCUACUUGUCUAAGAAGAAGAAAGAUAGGGAUUGUUAUUGUAUGAAGAACAAGAAUUUGAAUAUUUUGUUUUAUAUAUACUAGUCAGCUUCUUCUUUCUCAGCCUUUUCAUUUGGUAUCAUUUUGAAGUUGCAUUCUUAUUUGUAAAAGAAUGGAAGACGAAUGACUAUAGCUCCUAUUUAAU
rnacentral:lncRNA from 1 species